AUGUCUACAGUUUUAGCAAGUUCUCAGGUGAUUCUGCUGCAGUCUGCUAGUCCCCUGGCAUUUGGAACUUCAACCCAAGAGAACCUCUUAGGAUCAGUCCUCCUGACGUCCCUGGGUUUCCAAACAACGCUUAUACCAGGUCCACACACCAGGAGCUUCUUCUGUGGGCCCAGCCCCCACUCAUCAGCCACCCAGUCUGCUCUACAGAGAUGGCACCAACCAGACUUUCUCUGGCAGUUCCCAUCGCCUCUUUCCACCCCAGCAAGUACCAGGUGGCACUCUUGAGCACUUAACACUCCUUAUCUGCGCCUCGCAACGACCAGCUCUCAGGUUGCUCUCUGUGUCCCCGGAACACAUCCCGCAAUUUUGAAGAAGUGACGAGCACCCGGCCUUUGGAGGGACACUACCAGCUAGGCAUCCUUGCCAGCGGCGACUGUGGUUCCAAAGUCCCUUGUCUUCCUCUCAGCACUCGCAAAGCCUGCAUCGUGGUAUUCAAGGGAAAUUGACUUUGGAUCGGGUUCAUACAAAACUAGAGUGGGACGUGAUCAUUCUCAGAACUCGUAUGGAAAAAUGUAACACAGUUAAUAUUAAAGAGAUUGGGCAACUCUUUCCUCUCUU
rnacentral:lncRNA from 1 species